rnacentral:rRNA from 1 species
AGUCGAGCGGACCGGAUGGGAGCUUGCUCUUGUUCGGUUAGCGGCGGACGGGUGAGUAACACGUGGGCAACCUACCCGUAAGACCGGGAUAACUCCGGGAAACCGGAGCUAAUACCGGAUAACACCGAAGACCGCAUGGUCUUCGGUUGAAAGGCGGCUUUGGCUGUCACUUACGGAUGGGCCCGCGGCGCAUUAGCUAGUUGGUGAGGUAACGGCUCACCAAGGCGACGAUGCGUAGCCGGCCUGAGAGGGUGACCGGCCACACUGGGACUGAAACACGGCCCAGACUCCUACGGGAGGCAGCAGUAGGGAAUCUUCCGCAAUGGACGAAAGUCUGACGGAACGACGCCGCGUGAGCGAAGAAGGUCUUCGGAUCGAAAAGCUCUGUUGUUAGGGAAGAAAAGAUACCGUUCGAAUAGGGCGGUACGGUGACGGUACCUAACGAAAAAUCCCCCGCUAACUACGUGCCGCCA